rnacentral:rRNA from 1 species
GACGUAGGAGGCGAGCGUUGUCCGGAUUCAUUGGGCGUAAAGAGCGCGCAGGCGGCUUGGUAAGUCGGAUGUGAAAUCCCGAGGCUCAACCUCGGGUCUGCAUCCGAUACUGCCCGGCUAGAGGUAGGUAGGGGAGAUUGGAAUUCCUGGUGUAGCGGUGAAAUGCGCAGAUAUCAGGAGGAACACCGGUGGCGAAGGCGGAUCUCUGGGCCUUACCUGACGCUCAGGCGCGAAAGCUAGGGGAGCGAACUGG